CAUCCGCGUAAAAUCCGAACGGUUCAGAUCGAUUCCACCUCCACCUCCCUCAAUCAGCGCACGACCCGCACGGCCCACCCCCCUCCCUAUCGCUCUCCCACCACACCUGCGCCUCCGCCCUCCUCCGGAAUUCCGCUCCCGCACCUCCGCCAUCAGCGCUCCGCUCCGUAUCAGCCGCCGCGCCGUCCUCUGCAUCGCCUGUCUGCCACCGAUCCCCGCCGCCAGCUCGCCCUCCACGAUCCUCCGCCUCCCCGCUGCACGAGGUCCUCCCGUCGCCAGGUCGUCGCCGCCGUUCUGCUCCACCAAUCCCCGCCGCACGAGGUGCUCCCGUCACUAGGUAGCCACCGCACCAUCCUCUGCAUCGCCUGUCUCCACCGAUCCCCUUUGCAUCGCAGGGGUGAGCUGCAGCUAUGGAGUUCCUCGCCGGUGGGGGAGCAGCAGGUGAAUCCCGUGAGAGUUCAUCAGCUGGUGACCAGUCCGGAACUUGGCAUCGUGGAGUACAAUGAACGCGGGGUGCUCAGCGAUAUGUCCCGUCCGGCUCCUCACCUGCAAUGCAUGUGUUUUGGAGAGUGUUUAUGGAUUCUGGAUCUUAGACCCCCUCAACGACUUGGAUCAUCAGUAAAGCUUCAUCUUGAAGGUGCACAUCUGCCGUUGUUUCGUCAAAAUACUAUGCAUGAUCUUUACAAUGUGAUCACAAUAAUGAUACUUGCUGCCAUGAUUUCUAUCACUCAUGCACGCAUUGCCCUUGAUGAUUGUAUGCAGUUGGGAUAUAUUGGUGAGUUCACCCUCUAUCUCUCUCUCAAACCAUUAUUUAUCUUCAUUCACUAUUCACUUACAUUUUCCCUCUCAUCAAGCAAGAAAAUCCUUGGCGGUUCUGGUUUAUAUGACUUCCUGGAAGCAGUAGGAACAACAAGAGUUACUGAACCAUAAAUUGAACUUGCCUUCUUCAUGCAUCAGAUGAACCAUAAAGGGAACAACACUACUACCCUCUCCAAAAUUGAGCUGCUCAGGACUUCGUAGAAAUUUACAGCUUCAGGACAUGUGAUUUAUCUAUUCUCUUUUACUGUUUAUUCUAAAAUGCAAAAAAAAAAGAAAUUUUGUUGUAGCUUAGAUUAAGGCAGCCUCAGCUUUGUGGUUUGCCAAGCCAUGUACUGAUAUAUGAAUGUGAUACUUUAAUUAAUGUUGAAACACAUGAUUAUGU
rnacentral:lncRNA from 1 species